GUGGUAUGUAAGAAAGAAAAGAGGGCAUGGGAAGGCAUGUAAGAAAGAAAGAAUCAAGAGAGGGCAUGCUUCUUAAGAUGGCGUGGAGGGGUUUAACAUGAAGAAAGAAAGGUGGGGGGCAGCUGAUUUCUCAUGAAUAAGGGGUGACAUGAGGACUUUAAGGUGUAGAAUUAUAGGAUUUCAUGAAAAGAGAGAUGGGAG
rnacentral:lncRNA from 1 species